rnacentral:tRNA from 1 species
UCGCGGGGUAGUUCAGCCAGGUAGAACGUCGGUCUCAUACACCGAAGGUCGUGAGUUCAAAUCUCACCCCCGCAAU